CAGCGUCGGUGUACUAUAUCCUCAGAAUGCGCCUAACUUAAACCAUGCACAGUGAUUUAUUUUAGAGAAAAAACAAUUUUGAUGUUCGGAUAGAUGGUUUGUGGUGUCCUGUUGGCGAACACGAAAUGUUCUUUUCAUUUAAAAUGUAUCCAAAAGAAAACUUGGGAAUGUUGCCAGUUCCACUGUGCGUGUGACAGCGGCUAACCUGGUUUUGGGAAUUCUUCAUAUUUUUGGCUCGCCCAAGUCCAGCCACCACCGGACCAGACAAACACCUACAGUAGAUCUACAGGCAGCCCUUUAUCAUGUCCCAAUGCUCACUGCUGGGACAUGACUGCUCAUUAUGCCUGCCCUCCCAGUGGUGUCCAUGUGUACUGUAGCCUACUUCCUCCUAUGUUCACAUACUGUUCCUUAUUUAGGGCCAGUGGCUUUUUUUGCUCCUAUAGGGCAGACCUCUCUAAUGCCAUACUGUCAAGACUCUCGGUGAGUGUUUUAUUGCAGUUUCUGUUUCAUCUGUGUGGCUCAGACAUGAUAAUGAUACUGAUUCCUAAUUUGAACUGCCCUCUAUGGCUUCUUAGAGAGGUUCCCUGGGGGUCCUCCCGCAGAAAAUAAACAUUACUAUAAAGCCGAUUUUCAGUUAUUUACACGUUUGUUCCAAGUAAGAAUAUCUGUAUCUGUAUAACAUGUGGUUUUGUAAAAUGUAUUCUUAAAGUGAAAAGUAAAGUUUCUACUCCAACCAA